rfam:Ricinus communis cultivar Hale ctg_1100012359437, whole genome shotgun sequence.
UAUUCAUGGUGUGAGCAUUGUUAGUGAUUUGAAGCGAUGUCAUGCUUCAUGAAAGGACUCAGUAUCCUUUUGAUAAAAGUUAGAGAUUUCAGCCCUGAAUUC